rnacentral:lncRNA from 1 species
UUUGCAAAGAAAAGAUGAAGUAUUUAAGUGGAUGGUUUGCGAUGGUGGACGUCGGAGAGAGGUUUCAGGUGGCCGUCGGAGUGAUGGAGAGUUUAGAAAGAGAAAGAGAGAAGCCGACAUACAUAAAAUAGACUAAAAAGGCAGUUAUCAUUCAAAAAAAUGGGGAGAGGGAGAGACACGGCCAACUGGCACAGGGCAGAGCAAGAUCAGGCGAUCUAUCAAGAACAGAGAGAGAUGAGUUUAGAGAGAGAGAGCGAUUAGAUUAAAGGUUUUUACUUUUUAAAUU